AGUGAACGCUGGCGGUAGGCCUAACACAUGCAAGUCGAACGGCAGCACAGUAAGAGCUUGCUCUUACGGGUGGCGAGUGGCGGACGGGUGAGGAAUACAUCGGAAUCUACUUUUUCGUGGGGGAUAACGUAGGGAAACUUACUCUAAUACCGCAUACGAUCUACGGUUGAAAGCAGGGGAUCUUCGGACCUUGCGCGAUUGAAUUAGCCGAUGUCGGAUUAGCUAGUUGGCGGGGUAAAGGCCCACCAAGGCGACGAUCCGUAGCUGGUCUGAGAGGAUGAUCAGCCACACUGGAACUGAGACACGGUCCAGACUCCUACGGGAGGCAGCAGUGGGGAAUAUUGGACAAUGGGCGCAAGCCUGAUCCAGCCAUACCGCGUGGGUGAAGAAGGCCUUCGGGUUGUAAAGCCCUUUUGUUGGGAAAGAAAAGCAGCAGGUUAAUACCCCGCUGUUCUGACGGUACCCAAAGAAUAAGCACCGGCUAACUUCGUG
rnacentral:rRNA from 1 species